GGUCUCGUGGCCUAAUGGCAAGGCGCUAGUUUCCGGUGCAGAGUUAUACUAGCUAGAGAUUGUGGGUUCGAUCCCCACCGAGAUCG